GAUUUACUUCGACACAAUUGUCAGCUUAGUCACGUUUCAUGUGUCGACGGAUACAGAUCCAGGCGACCAGGAUAUAUAUGGCCCAAGAGAAGCAGGGAGAAAGAAGCCGGGAGCAAGGAGCUACGCUAAUGCUAAACACGACAUAAAGGUAAAAAGCCAAAGGCACGCGAUGCGAAUAUUUUAACGGGCCAAAAGGAGAAGAGAAGAAGAGGAGCCGACGAAGGAAAACAAGAAGUUGACGCUUUGUUUGCUUUAGUUUCAAUUUUGUGUGCUAGUUAACGUCAGUCUUAGUGAGCGGCCAGGUUUCCGGCUGCUGGCGAGGAUUAAACAUUGAUUCGAGCCUGUUUUCUGCGAUGUUGUUCUUCCGCACAGCCCUUGGGACUGACGGGCAAAUCCAUCCUUCUGCAUCUGCAGCGUGCUGUAGCGUACACUGCGGCUGUGUUAAUCGAAUUUCAGCACUGACCCGGUUUGUUCAGGAGGAGCCACCAUCCGCAUCGACCCAGAAACUAGCACUGACAGCUCUUGAGACUCCUUCCCACCGCCGGAGAGAAGAGUCGAGAUGCGAUGGCGCGCUGCCUAAUUGAUUUUGUGGCAUGCAAAGUUCAGCAGACGACGGCCCCAAAAACCGCAAGCCAACCGAUUUGAGUUCAGUUUUUUUUUUCGCCCGUCCCCACCCGAAACUCCCCUACUUAGUGGCCCCUCCCCGCCAAUCCUAUUAGAUGAUGUCUCAGCGCUUAGCUUCGAGCUCCCAGCUCUCAGCUCAGUGUGUCGCCUACUUUGCGGUUUCCACUUUGCCGUGUCAUGCCUGCCGCCAAUGUUUAGGUAGCGUCGCUCCGCCACCCCUUUCUGCCACC
ensembl:ncRNA lncRNA:CR45963 long non-coding RNA:CR45963